rnacentral:rRNA from 1 species
CCUACGGGAGGCAGCAGUGAGGAAUAUUGGUCAAUGGACGAGAGUCUGAACCAGCCAAGUAGCGUGAAGGAUGACUGCCCUAUGGGUUGUAAACUUCUUUUAUAUGGGAAUAAAAUGUUCCACGUGUGGGAUUUUGUAUGUACCCUAUGAAUAAGGAUCGGCUAACUCCGUGCCAGCAGCCGCGGUAAUACGGAGGAUCCGAGCGUUAUCCGGAUUUAUUGGGUUUAAAGGGAGCUUAGUUGGAUUGUUAAGUCAGUUGUGAAAGUUUGCGGCUCAACCGUAAAAUUGCAGUUGAAACUGGCAGUCUUGAGUACAGUAGAGGUGGGCGGAAGUCGUGGUGUAGCGGUGGAAUGCUUAGAUAUCACGAAGAACUCCGAUUGCGAAGGCAGCUCACUGGACUGCAACUGACACUGAGGCUCGAAAGUGUGGGUAUCAAACAGGAUUAGAUACCCCGGUAGUC